CGGGAGUAACGCGUGGGUAACCGUGCCUCAUACAGGGGGAUAACAGUUAGAAAUGACUGCUAAUACCGCAUAAGCGCACAGUGCUGCAUGGCACAGUGUGAAAAACUCCGGUGGUAUGAGAUGGACCCGCGUCUGAUUAGCUAGUUGGUGGGGUAACGGCCUACCAAGGCGACGAUCAGUAGCCGGCCUGAGAGGGUGAACGGCCACAUUGGGACUGAGACACGGCCCAA
rnacentral:rRNA from 1 species